CUCGUCUGCAUCCACAGCAUGAACUUGCAGAACGAACGUCCCCGCUGGCUGGUUUUCCAGAACUGAUGUGCUCUCUCGGUACUGCUGACACUGAGGAAGAUGGGAGCAGUGGAGAGAACAAAUGGCAGGAAAAGUAGACCGUGGCAGUGUUAAAAAGAAAGUUAGCUGAAGAUGUCCAGGCCUUGAUUCAGAGUGCAGGGAUGUGGGUAUUCUGAGAUCAAAUACAGCUUUGCAGCCCUCUUCAACCUCUUCACAGCCUCGGCUCCUGCAACGCUCCAGCGCUUACCAACAGUGUUUGGUAAGCUCCUCUUAAGAGCUUUCUCCUCAAGA